AAUAAAACAGAAAGGUUUCUAAGUGCCAAACUAUUAUGGCUUGAGUUAAAUGUAACUCGGAGCAUUAAAAUAACUUCAGAGCCGGCGGGACGUGGGCAUGUGAGAGCAGCCCUACCGGCCGCGUCCUCCCGGGGGCCGACGACAUGGACCGACAGGGACCCGCAGGCAGCGCUGGAGCUCAGGUGAAUGCAGGCGGAGCCCGAAGGCGCUGGGGCCCCGGGCUCAGCACCAGGGCUGGGUGCUGCCAGCCCGGCUCGGGGCGCCCCGCACCGCUCCGCACCCCGCGCGCCUGCCCCGGGGGCGGGCAGGAGCCUUGCGAAGGGAAGUGUCAUUUGUACAAAUUGCCAGUCUGUGCCAGCUUGGGAGAGACCUUACAAGGGAAACCUGGAGCCUUCCCUGCUUUUCAUGUGAGCGGAUGCCCCUUUUAUUUCUGAGCAAGGAGUAAGUGGAGAAAAAAGGAGCCCCUGUCAGCCUCUCGGAGACAAAUUGCUUCCUGCAGCCAGAGGUGGCUCAGCUCUAACAAUCACCCACUGCCAGAGAAUGAUUUACUGGGCCAGUGUGUGAAAAGUGCAUGGGACUCUGCUGCUCAGGCAGCAGAAAAUACCUUACUGCCUAAAUGAAAUGACCCAACCGACGCACAGGGUUAAAGAUAUAUGUGGUGCUCCUGUUCCC